AUUUCUGAUUUUUAUUUCUUUUAUUUCCAUUAUUUUCAAAAAUUCAUAUCUUCUUCAUUUUAAUUCCAAAAAAUAUGGGACCAAUUGCAUUCUUCUCCAAAUAAUUUCUAGUUUCUAAUUCUGAUUUUUAAUAUUUUUUUAUUUUGUCAUUUGAUAUUUUUUGUGAAUUUUCUAUUUUCUGGUUAUUUUUAAUUCAUUUUAAAUAGUUUUUGAUAUUCAAAAAAUACAAAAAUA
rnacentral:lncRNA from 1 species